GACGAACGCUGGCGGCGUGCUUAACACAUGCAAGUCGAACGAAGAGCGAUGGAAGCUUGCUUCUCUCAAUCUUAGUGGCGAACGGGUGAGUAACGCGUAAUCAACCUGCCCUUCAGAGGGGGACAACAGUUGGAAACGACUGCUAAUACCGCAUACGAUCUGACCUCGGCAUCGAGGAUAGAUGAAAGGUGGCCUCUACAUGUAAGCUAUCACUGAAGGAGGGGAUUGCGUCUGAUGAGCUAGUUGGAGGGGUAACGGCCCACCAAGGCGAUGAUCAGUAGCCGGUCUGAGAGGAUGAACGGCCACAUUGGGACUGAGACACGGCCCAGACUCCUACGGGAGGCAGCAGUGGGGAAUCUUCCGCAAUAGACGAAAGUCUGACGGAGCAACGCCGCGUGAGUGAUGACGGCCUUCGGGUUGUAAAGCUCUGUUAAUCGGGACGAAAGGCCUUUUUGCGAAUAGUGAGAAGGAUUGACGGUACCGGAAUAGAAAGCCACGGCUAACUACGUG
rnacentral:rRNA from 1 species